GGUCAGCUCUGCGUCCACUCCCAGAGGCCGCCAGAUGGCAGUGUUGUCGCACCUGGCCUGGCUGUCCCACAGCAUGGGAUCUGGUGUUCUGUAAAGAAGUGGGUUGCUGGCCAAGUUCUGCCAGUGUGUAGACUUUGCUGAGCUCCUGUGAGAGCCCUGAGCGUAAUCGUAAAUCCUGUUUCAUAACGUGGAAGGAGGGGAGCCUGGCUGACCCCGUACAUCUCAGCUCAUCCUCAUAUCAAAGUGGAAAGGACAGGAGACAGACCCAGCAAAACGAGUAGUCAUCUCUACCAGGAGGAGCUAAGCGAAAAAGCUGAGUUGAUUGUUGGGAACCUCGAAAGAGGCUGAGAAGGUGACGACACUGCUGCUCCGUCUGUGACGACGUUGCUGCUUCUCUUCUUCAUUUAGGAUGCUGAGAACAUUCAUAGCUUCUCCGGAAGUUGUCCUGUGGGACCACACCAGCCUUCUUCUUAGCUUCCUGGAAGGGUGCUGUUUACAGAUUCUCCGGAACCUUCUUGGGCUUAGGGAAGAUCUCCAGAAGACCUCCAGCCAUCUUGCUCCUGGACCCUGAGACUCUGGAAACCUUUUAAAUGUCGUAAAGUUUUCUCCAUUUGUGGUUUCCUUGUGAAAUUUCUCAGGGAGAACUUUUCCUGAAAGCUGUUGUCAGUGACUUGAGCAAGGAGGGCAUUUCUGCGGGAAAGGUGUGAACUGAGAGAAAGCAUGGAGGACAAGGACAGAGCCGGGGAGACCCGGGGAGUGUCACAGAGCCUGUGCGAUUCGUGACAGUCCUUUCUGCAGGUCUGAAGAGAAUACGAACCAGCGCUGAAGCCAGCAUUGCUGCAUUAUGAGAGCAUAGAUACUAAAUUAUGCGUUUUCCUGGAAAUCAGAAUGUGCUUGUUUUAUGUUGUUCACUUAGAGGUUGGGUUAGAAUAUAUAUCCAGACACUCAUUGUGCUCAAUUUAGUCAUUCUUUCACCAAUUUUCAAGCUCCUACUAUGUCCUGGGCACUUUCUAAGUCCUGGAAACACAACCGUGAGCAGACAGAUGAAGUCCCUGCUCUCGAGGUUGACAGCAGACAGACAAACAGGAAGACAUCAGAGUCUACGAGGAAAACCGAGAGUGUGAGGUGGCAGAGAGCAGGCGGGAGCUACUGUAGUGGAAGGGAUUAUGGAGGCGCUGACGGGGAGCUGAGACUUGAUAACAAGAAAAAGCCACGGAUUUGAGAAUCUUGGGGAUGAGCUUGCAACGUUCAUUUGUUCCCCAAUUACCGGCUGAGCGCUAUCUCCGUGCCAGGCCCUGGGAUGCGACCCUGAACAGAAGAGACCCCAGUCCUCCUCUGGAGAAGCUCACGGAAUAGUGGGGGAAGUGAGACACCAACACGAGAGAAAACGUCCAUGUUGACAUCAGUGGCUUUGCCUGAUCAUCUCCUGAUUAGGAAUGAAGACUACUGCCUCCAUGAGCACUGCUUUCAGAAGCCGCAGCUGCUUCGUGGCGAGCGGCUGGCAGAGGAAGUGCUGCUGUGCUGACUGCGAGGGCGCGAGCCCACAGCGCUGCCGACUGAACCUGGAGCCUGCUGGACAGGGAGGUGGCGGCCCGGCCAGAAUAACGGUCCGAUUUAUCUGUUGGAUCAUGAAAGUGAAACCCCAGGAUUCUCAGACAGACGCGUACUCUGGGUUGUGUGGAGAAAACCACAGAAAAUUCCGACUUCCCUCGGGCUUCAUGAAGCUCCUGCGGACGGCUCCGCCCGGGCACGAGCAGCAGCAGACGCUCUGCAGACCAGAGGGCAACUCCUCACGGAACAUUGACUUUCCGACUGUCACCCUAGAGGGCCAGAACCUCACCCCUUUGCACUUCAGGCUCUAGAUCCACGUCUACCAUUAUUGCUUAAUAAAUAUUUGUUACAAUAAUUAAUUAAAUCAAUUCAGUGGUUUCUUGAAUAAAACUUUGGCUGGC
rnacentral:lncRNA from 1 species